CCACUGAUCAUUUCUGGUUUUAAGAAAUAUCUUCCCACAAAAGAUUAAUUGAUGGCAUUUAUUUUUUCUUUAACAUUUAAAAUGAGUUUGAAUAGAUGUGUUUUUAUAUUCAGUGAUACUUCUUGAAGGGUAAUUUCUCUGCUUAUGGCAAUACUACAGUUAGAAAUUGUUUCUAUAGCUCCAAAACAAGACUUGGCCUAAGUAUUUGAAGUAUCAUUAUUAGGAGAUAAUCAUAUGCUCAAAACAAUGUUACUAGUAGUAAUAUAAAAGCUGUUAAAUAUGAAAAUAUUCCAUAUUCCUGCUCCAUAUAAGAAAGCACCUUUACAAAGUCACCCAUCAUAUUUUCCUGUUAUUUCAGCUCAUUUUGGGACCUUUAUUCUUCCAACCCAGUCAGAUAUUUUACCUGCACUUUUCAUUUUGCCUUCUGUCUUCUGCCCCUUUAGCCUGCAAUAUUUUAUUCAUUUCAAAAAGGAGCAUCAUUCCUUUUUUUUUUUCUGAAUUUUCCUCUGAAUAUACACAAAGGUUCACACAUUCAAACAUGAACAUCUCUGAACACUUCUAGAUAACCAUCCAUGGUAGAGUUUGCAAAUAAAACUGGAAGAGACCUUAGUGAGUAUCCUACGUCCUACGUCCUUGUUUAGAAGAUGUGGAAACCCCAGGUGGUCAGUAACAAACACAGCACCACUCGAGGACUAGCCAGGAACCCACUCUGCUCCUCAGGUUGGUUUGCACAUAUUUUCAAGGUAGUAUGUUUAACACACAUCCGGUAAAUAUUGAUUGAGUACCUUCUAUUUGCCUGGUACCAUCUCAGGCACUGAGGGUAGAGCUGAAAGGAAGAAAUGUCCACCUACACAUCAUUUACUGGUAGAGAAUAAAUAUGCAUAAAAUAUUUAAUAUGUCAACAAAAGAUAAUGUCUAUAAGGAAAAAUAUCUAUGUAAGAUGACAUGGAAGGCCACUCUUAGUCCCUAAUCUGUCUGCGCUGCACUUUUAUUAGGGUCUAUGCUCCAUAGGCACAUCUUCCUUGUUCCUUUGGAGCAAUCCUUUAUUUCAUUUUAUUUUAUUUUAUCUUAUUUAUUUCCUUUUUAGGGCCAUACCCACAGCAUAUGGAAGUUCCCAGGCUAGGGGUCAAAUCUGAGCUAAAGCUUCUGGCCUGAGCCACAGCCACAUCAAUGCAGAUCUGAACCACAUCUGCAACCUGCACCACAGCUCAUGGCAACAAUGGAGACAUUUUAUCUCAUCCUAGCUAUAGACUUGUGGAGCUCAGUGCCCCUAGCUCUCUUUCUCCUUCCAUCCAGUUUUAAAGUAGCCACAAUGUGCUACUCUUUAGAGAAUAUAUUAGUAAGCAACGGUAAAAAAUUACUGCCCUUUUGGUGCUUAUAUUUCUAGUGGUACACUCCUUUCCUUCAUUCCUCUCAUCCUUCUCUCCUGCCUUCCUCUCCUCUUCUAGUCUAUCUUAAAUAAGAAUUAAUAAGUGAGAAAUUUUCACAUGGAUGUACAUUACCUUUUUUUAAAUUAAAAACUAAAAUCAGACAUUUUUCUGAUUGAAGGUAUGUUUAAUGGGAAGAACUAGUUUGACAAUGAGGACCCAUUUUGCCAAUUAGCUUAUUCAGCUGAAUGAAUUAAAACUGAAGCUGUAAAUUUUUGACAUAUGUAUAUUUUUUAAAAAAACAUAUGUAAUACGCCUCACUUCUGGAAAGUAUGUCACUUGAAACUCUAAACAAAUGAUAAUUAAAAUUUUAGAUGUCAAUUUUAAGAUGUGUGAAGACGUACAUGGUUUUUCAAAAUUAUUUUGGAGAAUAUCCAAUCUACCCUCUUCAAACCACUAUGCUGGGGUUCUUCUACUUCAAAACUGAUUACAGGGAGGGUAGGAGGUGCCUCAGGUUUCCUUUGAAUUGACAUUGUUACAUACCAGGAGAUCAGCAUCCACUCUGCUUUACUAAUGGAAUAAAGGGAAGAAAGGAAGGUGGUUACAAGGUUUGAAAACCACAGAAAAGUUUAUAUUCACUACCCUUUGCAUACAGUGUAUCACGUUUUUCCUUGUGAAAACUGGGCUUUUCAAUCCCAACACUGUUGACAUUUUAGACAAGACCAUUCUUUGCUGCAACAGCUGUCCUGAGCAUUGGAGCAUAUGUAGCCACGCCCCUUGUCCCUACCCACAAAAUAUCAGCAGCACCCCCUCUUCCAGUUGUGACAUUAAAAACAGCCUCCAGACAUGGCCAGAUUGUCACAGAGGGGGCAACAUCAUCCCUUAUUGAGAACCACUGUGCUAUUAUAACCAGAUGUAUUAUUGACUUUCUUCCUAAUACAGUAAUUAGGAGCCCCCUUGGAUUUGCUUAUUCCCUUACACUAAAAUCUCAACAAACUCUGCUUACAUCUAGUCAGUAGGGAAAAAAAAGAAGAACCUUUUCCUGAUCUGCUCUCCUGAGAUUAGUGGUAGAAUGCCUCAUCCUGUGAGACAACUAUGUCAUGGAACUACUUCUUUAAAAAAUGUCCUCCCAUUCUACAACUAGUUAGCACAGUUAUUCUUUAAGAGAUAUGUAAUUUUUCUCAGCAUGUGGCUAUCAAGCAGAGUACUUGAUUGAAAAUUGAAUCUAAACUUUUGGAGUUUCUAUUGUGACUCAUUGAGUUAAGAUCCUGAAAUAUUGUCCAUAAGGAUGCAGGUUCAAUCCCUGUCUUCACUCACUGGGUUAAGGAUCCAGCAUUGCUGCAAGCUAUGGCAUAGUUCACAGUGGUAGUUUGGAUCCCAUGUUGCUGUGGCUGUGGGUAGACCUACAGCCUCAGCUCCAAUUUGAACCCUAGCUUGGGAACUUCCAUAUGAUACAGGUGUGGCCAUAAAAUGAAAAUAAAUAAAUCGAAACAUUAAGUUUAUAAAAGCAGGGUAAAAAUAAGUACUUAGCUAGUCCUAUCAUAUACAUAGAUAGCUAUAGAUUGACUUAAUGAUAGAAUGUGGUUUUAAAAGUGAAAAAUGUUGUGAUAUCUGGUGAAAUUCCUUUGAGUAGAGAGGAUUCACAUCAACAGGCUAUUUAAUAUGACUGAGAUUUAACCAGAACUCUAAGAAAGUAGGUGCAAACUGUCUAAAUUUCAAAGAAAGGAUAGACAUAGGCAGGGCUUGCAGAGAGAGAGAUGGCUUAAAACCAGUUUUGCCAAAUUUAUGAAAAAUUUUAAUUUAGAGGGGCCAACAGGUUGGAAAUAAAAGAAUUUCUUGAACCAGCUAUUCAUGACAGAGGAUAGAUUGAUGGUUUUCGCUUCCCCUCAAGCCUAGUGCCAAUGGCUAAAAGAGAACUAUGGCGAUCCUAGAGAUGUGACUCUGGGAGACCAGUGGCCAUGAUGCAUGGUUUCUGAUUAACUCCUUCACAAAAAGGCUAGAACAGAGACUGCCUAAAAGGUCAUAGCAGCAGAGAGCAGAGCUGCAUUUGGAAGAAACCACCCUCUCCUUAAACACAAGUCAAAGAUACAUGGUAUCCUGCAGUGGGAGUGUUGGUUUAAAACUGCUUCCCCAGAGAGCUUCUGCCCAAUAACAAGUGAUCUCAGCAGAAGAUUCUGGAAGGACACAAUGACAUGCAGACCUAAGGCAGGAUGGUAAAUAGCCAGCUGAAUAAGAGGUGCUAAACAAGUAAGAGGGAUACUGAGAACAUCUCCCAGAAGUCAAGGGAGCAUGUGUGGGAAAAAGAAUAUUGAAACAUCUGCCAUUUCUGGAGAACACGAGUACCCCAUCCCUCAUAUGAGCCCAGGACAACAUUUCCUGUCAGCAUCCUCUCCUCUCUUUCAACCCUGGAGAAGCAUAGGCAGCUUAGUGAGUGAUGGAAGAAGAGCUGCUGUCAAGGUAUAAAAAUAAAGAUACCAACCCUGCAUCCCCUUCCUGCUACAGGAGGCAGUCAGGGGAAAGUGGAAGCUGAUGGAAGGUGUGUCCACAGGGAGAAACUUUUAACUUUGCAACGCCUUCUGAGAUGGUGAUCAAUACAAUACAGUGGAAAAAGUAAUUACUAAAAGGAGAUGAUAGUUUGUGGCUGAGAUUGACUGAAGAGUGGUUGAUAGGGUCAAAGGAAGAAGCUAAGCUGCAAGGCUUGCCCAAGAUUUCUUCUAGGUGCAGAAGGACCAGUUGCAUGAAAAGCAUUUGAAGAUGCAGCAAAGGGAAAAAAUAAAGUUGUUUUCUGAUUGCAUUCUACAAGUCCUGCCUGUUCAACAUAUCAGUUACAUACAAGUAAACACUGAACAGCUUAUUCAGUGAUAAUCCAAUUGACAGCUUUAUAGUAUAAUACAGUAUCAUUUUUAUUUUUCUAUAAAUUACAGAGUGCCUGCCUCUUCAUCACUCAGACAAAAAUGUUUUCAUUUCUCUUUCAUCAUCCUAUAGUGAAUUCCUGCCAUAGUACUAUACAGAAUUUAUCCGUCUCUAGUUUGAAAGAAUAUGAAAAGAAAACCCACACAGAAACAAAGCAGACAUGCUUGUUUUUGCUUGUAAAUCUUUCCUAACCAUAAUAAAAAUAACUGAUUAAGGGAGACAUUGAGGACUGAUGUUAUAAUUCAAUCUCUGGGCUUUUGAUUAUAGGAUAAAUCAACUGGAUUUCUUCAACAGAGAAAUAGCACUCAAAUCAAUCUUGUCUUAUUGGUGUCCUUUUACCACAUAUGUGAUUACAUAGCUUAGAAAAAUGUCAGAUUUCACAAGCAUUUAUUUGCCCAAUGGAUAUUUAAGAAAGAAAAAUCCACUAGAGAAGCAAAAUUCGAAUGAAUGUUUGGGUGAAAACUGUAUUUCAGCCAAAGGUGAAACAAGAACCCUUUUGAAAAGAGGUAGCUAGCCUAGUAAAGAAAUUUUAUAUGGAAAAAAAUAGAUAUCAGUAAACCUAAGUCCCAGACUUGAAGUUAAGUCUUAGAAACUUGGAUGGGUAUUACUCUUCAAUAUUACUGUUCUUAAGCUUUGUACUGCAAAAACUUAGAGGUGAGGAAAGGAAAGAAGCAGAGAAGAAGUUAAGAGUGAUGGAGGUAGACAGGGGAAGAAGGAAUCAUUUUAAACAACUGAGAAAUUCUAAGGUAGUUGCUUCAAGUAUAGGUGGAGCCAGGUAUUCAAGUAACAUGAAAAUUUCACUCUACUUACCACAGUUUCUUAUUUCUCUGUUGACUUCCGGUCGCUCUUCAUUCUGUGUUGACCUAUGCAACUAGAAGGUUAAAUUUUUUUGCUCCAAGUUCAAAGGAAGAGUAUGCUGCCUUCAUGGUCUUCCUUUUAAACUAAUUCCUGAAUAAACUGACAUGGGUUACAUGUCCGUUUUGAAUACAUCAUUAUUAUUGGGUGCAUGAUACAUGAUGAUUUCCCAGGACAGCAUAAUAUAACUUCUGCUAGGUAUGAUGGUGGAGCCAGCUCCAGAAAAACUGUAGGAAAUGAAAAGACUGAAAGACAAACUAUAAACCUGAAAAUUGUGUGGCAAAGGGAGUCUUUAAGCAAAAUCUGCCCUUGUAAAUGUAGAAAGGAAACUAAGUAAAUAAAAACAACAGUCUACCUAAGGUGAUUUAUGUUUCCUCUUAGGAUGUGGUCUUGACAUCUUUAAAAUAAACACUGAUAACAUAGGUUCUAUAGAUUUCCUAGGUUCAUUAUUGUAAAGCUUAAAUGAGAUCAUAGAUGUAAAAAUGCAUCAAAAGAAGUGUUGAGUUAAAAAAAGAUUUUUUUAGGAUGUUGAAGAGGUCUGUAGAUCAGAAAAAUGUUUAUAUGUUGAGACUAACUAAAUACUCUUUAUCAGAGGAUUAUGUGAUAUUUCUCUCUGUAUAUGUCAACAAUUAUUGGUAUUUUCUAAGACAUAAAGACUUCAUAAAGAGAUUAAUAUGUAUCUAGAUGUUGUAGUUCUUUUUUUAAAAUUGAUGUGUAGUUGAUUUACAACGUUGUGUUUGUUUCAGGAAUACAGCAAAGUGAUUCAGAUAUAUGUAUUCUGACAUAAUUGAAUAUAUCUUUUCAUUACUAUAUCAAAUAUAGUUCCCUGUACUAUACAGUAGUAAGUCUUUGUGAUUUAUCUAUUUUAGGUAGUAGUGCAUGUAUGUUAAUAGCAAACUCCUAAUUUAUCCCUCCCCUUCCCCUUUGGUAGCCAUAAGUUUGUUUCCACUUGUUUUCUGUGAGUCUAUUUCUGUUUUGUAAAUAAGUUCACUUGUAUCCUUUUUUUGGGGUUUCUACAUAAAAAUGAUAUAUGAUAUUUAUCUUCCCUUCAGGAGUAGGAUUACUGGACAUGUAGUAGUUCUAUAUUUAGUUUUUUAAGGAACCUCCAUACUGGUCGUACUAAUUUACACUCCUACCAACAGUGUAGGAGGGUUUCCUUUUCUCCAUAUCCUCUCUAGCAUUUAUUGUUUGUAAACUUUUUUUGGUCUUUUUAGGGCCACACCCAUGGCAUAUCGAGGUUCCCAGGGUAGGGAUAGAAUCGGAGCUGUAGCUGCAGGCCUACACAACAGCCAUAGCAACUCAGGAUAUGAGCCAUAUCUAUGACCUACACCACAGCUCAUGGCAACACCAGAUCCUUAACUCACUUAGCAAGCCAGAGAUCAAACCUGCAUCCUCUCGGAUGCUGGUUGGGUUCCUUAACCACUGAGCCAUUACGAGAACUCCUGUGUAUAAACUUUUUAAUGACGGCCAUUCUUGUAGCUGUGAGGGGAUACCUAAUUGUAGUUUUGAUUUGCAUUUAUCUAUUAAUUAACAAUGUUAUGUUGAGCAUCUUUUCAUGUGCCUGUUGGCCAUUUAUAUGUUUUCUUUGAAGAAAUGUUACUCUAUGAUAUGAAUAAGCAAGAAUGAAAUAUUGAGAUUCAAUACAUUUCUAGGCAGUUACAAGGCAAAUAUCCUCUGAAGUUUGAAAAGACUAUUUUUUCCUAAAAUGACAGUCUGAUGCAUUAAAGAAAAAAUUGUAUUGGGG
rnacentral:lncRNA from 1 species